ACAAAUUUGUAAACAAAAAUAAAAAACUUCAAAGCAAAUGCUCAAAAUUUCCACCAUUUACUUCAAUAUACUUUAUGAUCCGCUUUCGUAAAGAUCUCUUAAUAUCAAAAUCACAUUCGUGAAUUAAGCCGUGGUUUAAUUUUUCGUUUUCUUUCCAAGUAGGCUUGUGUCGCUCUUAGACAGUUUGUGUAGAGCUUAAUUUUUCGUUUUUUUUGAAGUAGGCUUGUGUCACUUUUAGACAGUUUGUGUAGAAGCAACAAUUGGAUAAUAAUAAGAAUAAGUAAUACCAUAAUAUACCAUUUAUUAACAAUUUAGUAAUUAGCAGGUGUAAUAGUUAUUUAUCAAAUAAUGCCUAGGCAUAACGAUUUUUCCAAUAAUGAAAUGCGCGAUAUGAUUUGUGUGUUUGAUCAGUCAAAUUAUAGUGGUCCAACUGCGGCUCGAAGAUAUUCACAAUCGAACCCAAUUACAAACUGUACCGAAAUCUUGACAACCGCUUAGGUGAAACGGGGUCUUUACGCUCUAAAACUGAGCACGGUGCUACAAAAAAAUCACUGCUGAUGAAGAAGAUGAAAUUUUAACUUAUGUUACAGAGAAUCCAGAUAUCAGUACUCGCCGAUUAAGUCUGCAAACAGGUAUAAGCCAAUCAUCUAUUUUUAGAAUACUGGAGAGGGAAAAGUUGCAUCCAUAUCAUUACACUCAUGUUCAGAAUUUAUUGGGCAUUUUGAGCAUUUGAUUUGAAGUUUUUUAUUUUUGUUUAAAAAUUUGUUAUUGUUACAUAUUUAAGGAAUAAUAAAAUUUUUUUAUGAAAAAAUUAAAAUUUAUUGAACUUUUUAGAAGCAAAUAACUCGAUAACGGAUUGAGUUACACGAAUCAAAGAAGAGUAAUUUUUUUGUAGAGUUCAACGCUUUUUAAUAUUUUUUUAUUAUUUUAGUUGUAAGUUUAGCCCAAAAAGUUUACUUUGAUUUAAUUAACACAAACAAGUGUAACUAGCGCCCUCUAUUAGCAAUGUUAAAAUAGAGUGCAAAUUAUGAUUCCUCAUGCCAAAAAAAUUAAAUUGCCAGUUUUCAAAGAGAAAUUGUGAAAACAAAAAAUUAUUGCGAAACUCAAAAUUUAAAUUUAAACUAUGAACCGAUCUCGGAAACCAGCAAUAUUUGCAUAAGGCAUGUUGAGCAGAAUCAUCAUAUUUUGAGGUCUAGAAUCUACAGUUCAGAGAUUUGACAUUCUUAAUGAACCACCCUGUAUAUAUAGUUGCGACAUGAUUCGAAUUACAGAAAAGAGAAACAUAAUAGAAUUGACAACAAAGGGAGAAGAAAUCAAAUUGAGAAUAAAUAAUAAUAAAAAUUAUGAAAUAUGACAGGAAACUGAAAUAGAUGAAGAAAAAUAUAGAGGAAAGGAAAAUGAUCAGAACAAUAUUAAGAACAAACAAAAUUUUAGCAAAUGAUUACAGACAGCGUAUCAAUCAUGUAAUUGCUAUGUAUUUGUAAAGAAUAGGCGAAAAUAUAGUGCUACAACAGUGGGAAGAAGAAAAGCAGGAAGUCCCAGAUCAGCCCAGAUCAAAGUGGUUAUAAGUACAGAAAAUCUGAAUGCAAAUAAAACGAUGGAAAGCAGACACUAAGAACAGAACCGCACGGAGGAACAAGAACCGGGUAUAAUAUGAAGAAAACGGAGAAUUAUCCAUAUAGCAAAAAGGAUCUAGAAAGCUGCUCAAUAUCAGAAGGGCUGUGCAGUUUUCCUUCAGAAACGAUCAUAAAGAACGUGUUCAACUUCGUUAAAUCUGGAUUAUUUAAUAGCCAUACAAUGGAUGCAAAAAUAGUUGUUUCACAAGGUAAGCUGCCUUCAGUACAAUUUUUUUUAAUACUUAUAUUCCUAGUUGAUGGGUAAUCAAAACAUAUAUGUUCCACAUCAAAAGUUAACAGACUUUAUUCCGGUUUUAUAAAGUUGAAUGGUUUUUCGUUGUUUGCUGUAAACAACGUUAUAUUCAAUGAGCAUUAAAUUCUUAGGAGGAAUCAGAUAAAGGUUAAAAAGUUAGAUGGACAUAAAGUCUCUAGUUUGCAAUUGGCAGGAGAGUUCACAACACUCUAUAUAUCAUUCUUUGUGGAAGAUGGAUGAUCUCAUAAUAUAGUUACACUAUCUCAUAAUUUGAUGCUCAUGUAAGAAAAACAAUCUGUAGAAAAUAAUUAAUUGUUAAACAAUGACAGAACCCUAUUAAUGAGUGGAUGGAAAAUGUGUCUUCAUCCACCAUAAUUCCAAAGUCAAAGCACCUUUCUUUGACGCCUCAAAGACCCAUGUUCGAAUAAUAAUGGUCAGCAAACAUCAAAUCAAGAUUUCGACGAACACCUAUACCCAUAAUACUUGUGAGUUACCGAUCAGCUUCACAGGGGUCCAGAAAUGGUGUGGAGUGAAGUUUCAAUAUUUCUUUUAAUAAGAAUUCAUUUUUUAAUUCCAUUUUAAACUUAUUUGUGCGAAACGCCACGUCAUAGUGUAAGUGAUGUGCAUUUUUAUUAUAGUAUAUGAGUAAUUAAGAUUGUUCUAUUUAAAACAAUAACGCCAAGUUCGGAAAAGGUUUGGCCUUGUUAUUUCGAACCGAAACACAUAACGUACGAGUGAAAAUAAAUAUUGACGUAUGCAUGUGUCCUAAUACAUCUAUUUAAAAAACUCCGUAAAUAUUUAUAUAUAACAUAAGCAAAAAAAUAUAGAUCACAAUACAUAUUGGUUCAGUUCAAUCAAUUCAUAAUUAUGUCGCAAUGCCAUAACAAUUUUAAAUAUCAUUGUUAUACGCAUAUGUUCGAUGGCAAAUUAGGAGUGAAGGAUAAUUGGAUAAAUAUAAAAUGGAAAUGGAAAUAUAAAAUGGAAUAAAAUUCGAAAAUAAAAUCAUAAAAUUUUCUCAUUUAUAACAUACAAAAAUAAUAGAAUUAGAAAAUUUUGCGAUUAUUCUAGUGUUUAAUACGAGAAAAUAAUAUUUUUCUUCAAGUGUAAAUAAUAUCUAUAUUAUUUUUGGCAACAGAGAUCGUAGAAAUAACCUAUUCUUAAAAUAGGUAAAAUAAUGAACGCUCAUUAUUGUAUUAGUAACAAAAUAAUGAGAAACGAUAGCAACGUCUUAUUAUGAGCGUUGUAACCAAGUAGCCAAUUUUUAUUCAAUUUGAUGUUUGUCAGUUUUGAAAAGUAAAUUGUGAAAAGAAGAAGAAUUUCAAUUUACACCGAGGCUUGAAGAAAAAAUAGUAUAUGUCACUCGGAGCAGAAAACCCAUUAUAUCUGGGUAUCUGGUCUCAACAAAAAUGAUAGCUUUCUACUCCUAGUAACAUAAUGUAAUAUUUGUUUAUGUCAUCAAAUUAGUGUAGUGCUCAUUUAACACUAUGUUUUCCAAUGAAAAACAAUAUAACACACCGAAGAAAAGCUACGUAAAUAUUAUCCUAAAAGUGCUUUGUCCCAUGAAAUGACAAGUGGAUAGAGUUAAAUUUUUUUUCUUUGAAGUAAGUGAGUAAAAAAAGGACAAUUGUCAAUAGUGUGGUAAUAGAACAUACUUGGGGUGUGAUAAAAUAUGGUAAUUUAUUGCAUUAGGAACAUAGUAAAAAGUUACAAGAGAUCCAAACGUAGCAUGGUGCCAAUUGUGGUGAGUGAGGUAAAUGUGGAUAGACAGGAACUUUUUUAAUAGGCUGUGACACGUGGUCACAAUGAAGAAGAAAGUCAUUUUUACGAUUUUUUUGUUCAUUUUCUGAAUAAUAUGCCCACGAAUGUUGUUAUCCCGAAAAAUGGAAAGAAUGAUAUACAAAUAUUAUAAUCAAUUAACAAACAAAAUAUGGCAUCUAAAAUGAAAGUGUCGUUGUCAAAAUUUUGAUUAGAAGGUCCAAUAAUAACAUUAUUAUCUAAAAUCCAGUAUUCAAAUGUGUGAUUCAAAUCACUGCUUUUACAAGCGAUCACUAAUGUUUGUCCAACAGACACUUCCAGAUUAAAAUACCCUGUCCUAUUAACAUUUCCAACUACAACACAUUUAUGUAACACGAAUGAUAGAACAACAAAUAUAUAUAUUUUGCACAUA